rnacentral:rRNA from 1 species
UGCAGUCGAACGGAUCCUUCGGGAUUAGUGGCAGACGGGUGAGUAACGCGUGGGAAGCUACCUUGUGGUAGGGGACAACAGUUGGAAACGACUGCUAAUACCCUAUGAGCCCUAUGGGGGAAAGAUUUAUCGCCAUGAGAUGUGCCCGCGUUAGAUUAGCUAGUUGGUAAGGUAAUGGCUUACCAAGGCGACGAUCUAUAGCUGGUCUGAGAGGAUGAUCAGCCACACUGGGACUGAGACACGGCCCAGACUCCUACGGGAGGCAGCAGUGGGGAAUAUUGGACAAUGGGGGCAACCCUGAUCCAGCCAUGCCGCGUGUGUGAUGACGGCCUUAGGGUUGUAAAGCACUUUCAGCAGUGAAGAUAAUGACAUUAACUGCAGAAGAAGCCCCGGCUAACUUCGUGCCAGCAGCCGCGGUAAUACGAAGGGGGCUAGCGUUGUUCGGAAUCACUGGGCGUAAAGAGUACGUAGGCGGACUGAUAAGUUAGGGGUGAAAUCCCAAGGCUCAACCUUGGAACUGCCUUUGAUACUGUCAGUCUUGAGAUCGAGAGAGGUGAGUGGAACUCCGAGUGUAGAGGUGAAAUUCGUAGAUAUUCGGAAGAACACCAGUGGCGAAGGCGGCUCACUGGCUCGAUACUGACGCUGAGGUACGAAAGCGUGGGGAGCAAACAGGAUU